AGCUGCGUGGCGCAGUGGAAGCGCGCCGGGCUCAUAACCCGGAGGCCGUUGGAUCGAAACCAACCGCAGCUA
rnacentral:tRNA from 1 species